UACGUAGGGUGCAAGCGUUGUCCGGAAUUAUUGGGCGUAAAGAGCGUGUAGGCGGCCCGACCAGUCCGCUGUGAAAGUCCAGGGCUCAACCCUGGAAUGCCGGUGGAUACUGUCGGGCUAGAGUCCGGAAUGGGCGAGUGGAAUUCCUGGUGUAGCGGUGAAAUGCGCAGAUAUCAGGAGGAACACCCGUGGCUAAGGCGGCUCUCUAGUACGGUACUGACGCUGAGACGCGAAAGCGUGGGGAGCGAACAGG
rnacentral:rRNA from 1 species